GGAAAGAUGGCAGACGCGGUGUAUGCGCCGGACUGAAAAUCCGGUUAAGGUGAUUCGAUUUCAUCUCUUUCCACCA
rnacentral:tRNA from 1 species